rnacentral:rRNA from 1 species
GAUGAACGCUGGCGGCGUGCCUAAUACAUGCCAGUCGAGCGAACAGAUGAGGAGCUUGCUCCUCUGACGUUAGCGGCGGACGGGUGAGUAACACGUGGAUAACCUACCUAUAAGACUGGGAUAACUUCGGGAAACCGGAGCUAAUACCGGAUAAUAUAUUGAACCGCGUGGUUCAAUAGUGAAAGACGGUUUUGCUGUCACUUAUAGAUGGAUCCGCGCCGCAUUAGCUAGUUGGUAAGGUAACGGCUUACCAAGGCAACGAUGCGUAGCCGACCUGAGAGGGUGAUCGGCCACACUGGAACUGAGACACGGUCCAGACUCCUACGGGAGGCAGCAGUAGGGAAUCUUCCGCAAUGGGCGAAAGCCUGACGGAGCAACACCGCGUGAGUGAUGAAGGUCUUCGGAUCGUAAAACUCUGUUAUUAGGGAAGAACAAAUGUGUAAGUAACUAUGCACGUCUUGACGGUACCUAAUCAGAAAGCCACGGCUAACUACGUG